GGACAUUGUCAGAAACCGCCUAAAAAACCGCCCAAAAACAUUAACCCAUCAUAAUUAUUUUCUAUUUUUUUUAAUACAUUAAGCACCCUUUCAUUCUAAUGGACACUUAAGCAUUGAAAAAUUAAAUAAAUAAGUCUUUUAACGUUUAUUCUAUAAUACUAUUACAACUUCCGGACGUUUUGGUGCGUGGCAUGGUCUAAAACCUAUCAAGUUCCAUAAUUUUUGCCGAUAAAAUCUGUACGAGGCAUUACCGUACUUUAUUGCUGGGAGUCCAUGUAUAGUGAUGUUCCUGCGGCCAUCAUAGACAAUAAAAUAUCGAUUUUGAAAAUAAAAUAAAUCGAUUAAACUGCUUUGAAGACUAGAUUUGCGUUAAAAGCUAAAAAGAUAUUGACAGUUUGACACUAUUACAAGAAGAUAUCUAAAGUGUCCAACUGGUCGAAGGUCGUAAAUAAAAUAAAAAUAAUUAGGACCAUAAACUGAUAUUCAUGGUAUCAUAACUGUAAAAGUGUCAGAAUCCGAUGUUGAAUCCAAUGCCAGUUGAAGUGUGAGAAACAUAUAUAUAUUUUUUUUAUGUGACAGGAGGCAAAUGAGCAGACGGAUCACCUGAUAUCAACCUAGUAUAGUUGCCAGUCUCUCAUAAUCUAUGCCAAUGAGGGUUUUCGCGAUUGAAAAAUCCGCCAGGUGGCAAUACGUAGACGUGAGGUCCAAAUGCUGCAUGAUUGGUUAUUUUUGACAUGACAUUGACAGAUAUCCACCAAUCAUGCAGCAUUUGGACCUCGCGUCUACGUAUUGCCAUCUCGCGGAUUUUUCAAUCGCGAAAACCCUCAUUCAUAGCACAUGUAUAAUAAUAGACCAAAUGAACUUUUAUAGAUUGUGAAAGAGAAGAUAAAGAUUUUAUUAUUUUAUUAAAAUCUUGCCACGAGGUAGUUUUUCAGUAGAAACCAGGAUUGGAUAAUCGCUACAGGCAAGUAUCAGAACAUUUUAUAAAUAUUUUUAAUCGAUUAUAUCCAUGUGAAUCGUUUUAAUAAAUUGUCAUUUUACUUUUUCAAUUAAAACUUUUUCAAUCCCUAGUCUUGUCAAACUGUCAUAAUGUCAACAAAUUAUAAAUGUCACGUCAGUUGACUCAAUUUCAGUCUUCUAAAGAAAACCAAUGUGGUGCCCUUAUUAUUCAUGCUGUUUGAAAGUUACAAGUCAGUGAUACAGAGUUGCCGACAUUAUAACUCCGUAGUGAUACCAUACCAAAGAAGAAGUUUUCCUAAACACUUGUGUUGUUUUUAUAUGUGAUCGAAUAAAAAGGAUUAAUUCUACUGCUCAAAUGGAAUAACUUAUCCCAAGAGACCGAAUAUAAAAAAAACCUCUCCAUAGAAAUUAUCACCAUCACGAGGAUGUGAAUUUUUUUGAGAAUUUGAUAUUGGUCCUGUAAGAAAAGUAGUUGUAUUUCAGUAGUAGAAUCAACCCUUCUUGUUUCAUCAGCAAGAGUAACUAUAAAAACGCCCUGUAGGUAGGUAUUAUUAAGCUGAAGAGUUUGUUUAGUGUCAAAGACUGUCACACAGUGUAACUUAAAUUGGCAUAUUAUGAUAAUGAACAUAAAAACUUAAAUAAAUAUUUAUGUUAAUA